ensembl:lncRNA
CAACAAUGGUGGUGGCUGUGUUCCAGAGUGAAGUUGGUGUCACGGCAACCUGGAAUGCAGACCAGAAGGGCACUGCCAGCAAGAGAUCACCCCCGGGUAAAAGAGUGAGCAAGGGCUGUGGCGGGUAAGAGCAGCCCAUGGGGAUGGACAGCGGCUACUCCUCCCCCACCUCACAGCCACACACAGGGACAGGGACACAGCAGGACAGUGAGACACUCCUGUUCUCACCUGCAUUCAUCUCCUGACAAGAGGGCCAAGCACUGCAGGACAGGUGCUGGCAACGGAUCUACUGAUUGCAGUGGCCCUUUCGACACACAGCCAUGGAAAUUGCUGACAGAUCAGCAACCCGAUGGACAUUUGCACAAAGACAGAACCAGAGCAGGACAUACACCUAUCCUCAGCCCUCUAACUGUUUUCCAUGCCACCAUGCAGAUAAGUCUGAAACAAACGCUAUCCUUCCUCAAUUCUAAAUUACCUUGGAAGCUCCCCAGGAUCCCCAUGCCCUCACCUCAACAUUUUAUACCACUUUGCUGAGUCCUGGCCCUAUUGCAGGUGCUUGCAACGGACCUACUGAUUGCAAUGCCAACUGAUAAAUGAGGCCAUGGAAAUGGCUCGUAGAUCAGUAACCCGGUGAGCAGGGCUACAUAGGGGAGGACAGCACAG